rnacentral:rRNA from 1 species
AACGUAGGAGACAAACGUUAUCCGGAGUUACUGGGCGUAAAGGGCGUGUAGGUGGUUUCGUAAGUCUGGCGUGAAAUUUUUCGGCUUAACCGGGAAAGGUCGUCGGAUACUGCGGGACUGGAGGACGGUAGAGGCGUGUGGAAUUCCGGGUGUAGUGGUGAAAUGCGUAGAGAUCCGGAGGAACACCGAUGGCGAAGGCAACCACCUGGGCCUGUACGUGACGCUGAGGUACGAAAGCGUGGGGAGCAAACAGG